UACGUAGGCAGCAAACGUUGUUCGGAAUUACUGGGCGUAAAGAGCGUGUAGGCGGCCUGACAGGUCUGCUGUGAAAACUCGAGGCUCAACCUCGAGAUGUCGGCGGAAACCGUCUGGCUAGAGUCCGGAAGAGGAGAGUGGAAUUCCUGGUGUAGCGGUGAAAUGCGCAGAUAUCAGGAAGAACACCUAUGGCGAAGGCAGCUCUCUGGGACGGUACUGACGCUGAGACGCGAAAGCGUGGGGAGCGAACAGG
rnacentral:rRNA from 1 species